UACGGAGGGUGCAAGCGUUAUCCGGAUUCACUGGGUUUAAAGGGUGCGUAGGUGGGCCGGUAAGUCAGUGGUGAAAUCUUUGGGCUUAACCCGAAAACUGCCAUUGAUACUAUUUGUCUUGAAUAUUGUGGAGGUCAGCGGAAUAUGUCAUGUAGCGGUGAAAUGCUUAGAUAUGACAUAGAACACCAAUUGCGAAGGCAGAUGGCUACGCAUAUAUUGACACUGAUGCACGAAAGCGUGGGGAUCAAACAGG
rnacentral:rRNA from 1 species